AGUGAACGCUGGCGGUAGGCCUAACACAUGCAAGUCGAACGGCAGCACAGUAAGAGCUUGCUCUUACGGGUGGCGAGUGGCGGACGGGUGAGGAAUACAUCGGAAUCUACUUUUUCGUGGGGGAUAACGUAGGGAAACUACGCUAAUACCGCAUACGACCUACGGGUGAAAGCCGGGGAUCUUCGGACCUUGCGCGAUUGAAUGAGCCGAUGUCGGAUUAGCUAGUUGGCGGGGUAAAGGCCCACCAAGGCGACGAUCCGUAGCUGGUCUGAGAGGAUGAUCAGCCACACUGGAACUGAGACACGGUCCAGACUCCUACGGGAGGCAGCAGUGGGGAAUAUUGGACAAUGGGCGCAAGCCUGAUCCAGCCAUACCGCGUGGGUGAAGAAGGCCUUCGGGUUGUAAAGCCCUUUUGUUGGGAAAGAAAAGCAGCAGGUUAAUACCCCGCUGUUCUGACGGUACCCAAAGAAUAAGCACCGGCUAACUUCGUG
rnacentral:rRNA from 1 species